GGCAUGCCUUACACAUGCAAGUCGAACGCGAAAGUGUCUUCGGACAUUAGUAGAGUGGCAAACGGGUGAGUAACGCGUGGGAAUAUACCUUAUAGUACGGAAUAGCCUCGGGAAACUGGGAUUAAUACCGUAUACGCCCUGAGGGGGAAAGAUUUAUCGCCAUAAGAUUAGCCCGCGUCAGAUUAGCUAGUUGGUGGGGUAAUGGCCUACCAAGGCAACGAUCUGUAGCUGGUCUGAGAGGAUGAUCAGCCACAUGGGACUGAGAUACGGCCCAAGCUCCUACGGGAGGCAGCAGUAGGGAAUAUUGGACAAUGGACGAAAGUCUGAUCCAGCAAUGCCGCGUGAGUGAUGAAGGCCUUAGGGUUGUAAAGCUCUUUUAGUGGGGAAGAUAAUGACGGUACCCACAGAAAAAGCACCGGCUAACUUCGUGCCAGCCGCCGCCGUAA
rnacentral:rRNA from 1 species